UAGUCCACACUGUAAACGAUGGAUACUAGUUGUUGGUGUUAAAAUCAGUAACGUAGUUAACGCAUUAAGUAUCCCACCUGGGAAGUACGACCGCAAGGUUAAAACUCAAAGGAAUUGACGGGGGCCCGCACAAGCAGUGGAGUAUGUGGUUUAAUUCGACGAAACGCGAAGAACCUUACCAGGGCUUGACAUAAUUAGGAAUAUCUAAGAGAUUAGAUAGCUCUACGGAGUCUAAUUAC
rnacentral:rRNA from 1 species